GGUGGAUGAUGUGGAUUAAUUCGAUGCAACGCGAAGAACCUUACCUACCCUUGACAUGUCCGGAACUUGCCAGAGAUGGCUUGGUGCCCGAAAGGGAAUCGGAACACAGGUGCUGCAUGGCUGUCGUCAGCUCGUGUCGUGAGAUGUUGGGUUAAGUCCCGCAACGAGCGCAACCCUUAUCAUUAGUUGCUACGCAAGGGCACUCUAAUGAGACUGCCGGUGACAAACCGGAGGAAGGUGGGGAUGACGUCAAGUCCUCAUGGCCCUUAUGUCCAGGGCUACACACGUGCUACAAUGGGCGAGACAGAGCGACGCGAAGCCGCGAGGUGGAGCAAAUCCCACAAAGCCGAUCGUAGUCCGGAUUGUUCUCUGCAACUCGAGAGCAUGAAGUCGGAAUCGCUAGUAAUCGCAGGUCAGCAUACUGCGGUGAAUACGUUCCCGGGUCUU
rnacentral:rRNA from 1 species